rnacentral:lncRNA from 1 species
CAAUAAAAAGGACAUUUCAUUACUAGGAAAAAAUGGAUUCAGUGAACUGAUCAGCAUAAAAACCUACGAUGAAAAACUUUUCAAAGCAGCCUGAAUAGCAGCUCCAAGGAAGAUGGUCAAUUAAUCUUCAACCAAGUCUGAGGCUUUACCAAGAAAAUAAGAAGGCAAGUUUAUUUAAGCCAAACUGUUUCUUAACAUUAUCAUAAAAAAAAAGAUAAAUAAUGCAGACAACACCCUUCUGAUUUUCUGCAUGUAAAACACCAUUGAUAAAUUAGUUUUCAAGUUUCAUAAUUUAUCUUACCAGGUACUGGAACCAGACUUUCUAGUAAAAUAUCAAUAGUAAAUUCUAGGGACAGUCUAUACUAGAAUAGUAUAGAAAGUCUGUAAAUUCUGAGUACUCAAAUUUCAAGUGGAGUCUAGUACAACUUACAGCAAUAUUUGUCCCUUCAAUGGGAGAUAAAUUUAAAAUUUGCACAUGAUUUUUGUGCAGUAAAAAUUCCAAACAAAACCUUGACUUUAUCAUGUUAAGUUUUCUGCUUUAGCCAGUUUGAUAGUUAAUACUUGCAAUAAAUCAAUGAUAUUUUGUAUAAAGUUACAUUUCUAUCAAAUUAUCUGAAUUAGCAAUGUUGGUAUCCAUCAGAUUUUUUUUUAUUUUCUGCUGCUAGGCAACACAUCUCUGUGUCAACAGUUUAUCUUACAAACUUGUGUUGAUACUAUUGUGAACAUUUUGUAGGAAAUCAGAACAAUAUAUAGAAACAUUUAUAUUUACAGAGAAAUUUAUAAAAUAUAUAAUGUGUCAAUCAUAAUUUCUUUUUAGGUUCUUCUGUGACAUGUUUUCAUGGUCUGGGAAUAAGACUUGGUGGUCUAAUACAGCUAAUACAAAGGUAUGUACCAGUAUGUUAGUCCUAUUUAAAAAAAAAAAAGGAUUUGGAAUUAGCAUGUGCUCUAAGCAUUAAGGUUUAUAGGAGUUUGGUGAGAAGUCUAUGUAAAAAAGAUGUGGUAUGAUUGCUUAUGAAACAACUCUUCAUAGGAGACCAAACGAUACAGAAAUUAACAGCUAAAGUUCACUGUAAGGGCCUUCAACAAUGAGCAAAGCCCAUACUGCAUAACUAGCUUUAAAAGGCCCAGAAAUCACAAAUUUAAAACAAUUCAAACGAGAAAACUAAUAGCCUAAUUUGGUGCUUUAUGUUUGUGUGCAUUUGAGUAUUAAAUGUUUUAACUUUUAAUGAUCUGAUUUGAUUAUGUUAAAGUUUGUUGGGAUGCUGGAUUGCUGUUCUCAACUUCUAUUACAUAUUUAUAGACUUUCUAUUUAAUUUGCCACUGGACGUAAAGUAAUCAAUAAUCAAUAAUUCAAUCUAUGUAAUAUACCAAAAAUUAUCCUUUUAAACAAUCUUUAAUGCCUAAGCAUUUGGUAUUUCAGAUUAGCAUCACAGCUUGUCUGUAAGGAUCGAAGCUGGGAGUGGGCAUUGGAGCUGACUUUUAUGGUAAGGACCAAUACAAAAAAAAAACAAUAUGUGAAAAAAGAAAUAUGUUAGACAUCUACCAAUGAUUUGUUUUUCAUCCUUUUCCUAAUAAAGACUGGUAGUUCAAAAAUUAUAUCAGCAAAUCACUUUUAAACAAUGUAAAAGAAAUGUUUUAUUGAUAAUGACCAGUUUUUUAUUAUUUUGCAUUUGCUAUUGUUUCAAUUUUCAUGUUUUGACAAUUAUGAUUAAGUUUGCAUAUUUCUUUUUCAGGUUACUGUGGCUGCAUAAAAUGGCUAUGUGAUUUCACUGUAACAGUAAAGAAUGUAAUUCAGACUCUUUUUGUAUAUAUUGAGAAAAUGUUUAUUAUUUUUACAAACAAAAUUAUGUACAGGUUCUCCAUUUUCAAUAAGAUUGGAAGUUGUAGGUUAACUUUUUAUUGAAAUUUCAAAUAUUACUUUAUAUUUUCUGUUCUUACUCAAAACACUUCCAGUAGUUUAAGAAUGGAGAAUCUUAAAAAAAAAAAAAAAAAAAAAAAAAAGAAAAAAAAAAUGUUCAAUUGUUGAAAGGUAUAUAUUUUUUCCAUCUUUUUGUUAUUUUUAGCUGACUUUGUAACAAAGGGUAUAUUUUUUAAAGAAUAUUUAAGCAUUUAACACCACUUUCAGCAUGAUUUUCUAUAUCUUGGCUGUCAAUAUUUAUUUGUGGAGACGGCCAGAGUGCCUGGUGAAAACAUCACCUUCAACAGAGAAACUCAAGUCAAGUCAAUUAAGAUUGAAGUUAAACACACCUCCCAUAUGAGGGUUCAGAGUUGACAGGCUAGUGAUACAGUAGUUAAACUACUUUGACCAUUCAGCCGCCAUUAUUUCAUCAGCACUAAAUAUGUUAUUGAAAUGUGUUGGAUUUUUGUAAUUUAAUUAUUUUUUAUUUUGAUUACACUAUAUGUAUUUUUGUUAUGUAACAAAAAUGUGUGAAAUUUAGGUCAAAGGGAGGUAAUUUGUUAUACUGUGUUUAACUUCAAAUACUUUAAAUUCCCUCAAUGUUAGAUUUUUAUUUACUCUGAUACUCGCAUAUAUGCACUUUUGUACAUAUCAGAUAUUUUUUAGAUAAUAGAAAUGUAAAGUGGGAAAAAUUCUGUGUUACUGAAAAUGAUUUGGUUAUUUUUCUUAAAAAGGUUAUUAAAUGAAUGUGCAUCUGAUAUUUUUUUAUGUAUGUUACUUUAUUUUGUAAAAACAAAUGGACACAACAUAGAUUGACAACAUAAUGAGGAGAACCACCUCGGCAGCAAAGAUAACAGUUCCAGGGAAGAUGGUCAAUAUAAUCUUCAACCAAGUCUGAGGCUUUACCAUGAAAAUAAAAAGGCAAGUUUAUUUUAGCCAGAUCUUUUAAGAUAUUUACAGACCCUUCUGAAAUAUUACAUUUAAAACACCAUUGAUGAAUUAAUUAACCAGUUUAAUAUUUAAAGGUAGAAGAUACAUGAACAAGAUUUUCUAUUAAAAUAUCAAUAGUUUAUCCUUAAAAUAGUCAUUAAACUACAAUGACAAGAACAUUACAAUUUGAAAGAUGAUUCAAUGGGAGAUAACUUUGUAAAAUAUUUAGAUAUUUUUUGUGCAGUUAAACUUCAAACCUUUGACUUUUUUUCACUUUUCUAUCUUUAAUAUUGAUUUAAAAAGUUUGGUUUUAUACAAUUGCAUACCUGCAAUAAGAAAUCAGAACAACAUUUAGUAAAUUUUAGGUUAUCAGUAACAGAUAUAUUAAUUUAUAAAAUAUAUAAUGUGUCAAUUUUGAUUUCUUUUCAGGUUCUUUCUGGGACAUGUUUUCAUGGUGUGAGAAUAAGACUUGGUGGCCUAAUACAGCUAAUACAAAGGUAUGUACCAGUAUGUAAGUCCUGUUUUGGAAAAAAAUCUCAAAUGUAUUAUAAAUAUUUUAUAGAAAAAAACAAGAUUUGAACAUUUUAAAAGAUUUUUUACAGGAAUCUACUCUUAUUAUUAUAUCAGUAACCAAAUGAGAGUUAAAGAUUAGGAUCUGAAUUGUUUACAUAAAAAUUUGUUUGCUUGUUAUUGCUGUCUCAUCCAUAUGUUCUUGACAUAUAUUACACAUUUAAAGACUAUUUGUAUUUAAUUAUUUGCCACUGGACCUUAAGCAACCAACAACCAAUCAUUCAAUCUAUUCAAUAUACAUACAUAAUACCAACAAAGAACCUUUUAAUCAGUUUUUAAUGAAUUCUCAUUUUAUAUUUCAGGUUAGCAUCACAGCUUGUCUGUAAGGAUUGAAGCUGGGAGUGGGCAUUGGAGCUGACUUUUGAGGUAAGCAUCAGUACAUAGAUUUAUAGAUGUAAAUCUUACAUAUUAAUGACAUAGAUGUCUUCUUUAGUUAUAGUUGAAUAUACAACUUAGAAGAUAUAAAGAUAUAUAAUGGAAGUCAAAAAGUAUAAUGUAUAAUGCCAAAUCUUGGAAUUUCAGUUAUUUUGUUAUCUAUAGUUGUCCCCAUAUAUGUGGUAUGUAUGCCAAUGAGACAGCUAUCAACCAGAGACCAAAUAUUGUGGUUGUAAGCAAUUAAAUGUCACCCUAUGCCUUCAACAAUGAGCAAAACCUACAUUGUAUAGUAAGCUAUUAAGGUUCAACAUGACUAAAUGUUAAAAAAAUCAAUCAAGUAUGUAAAUAGCCUGAUAUACUAUAAAACAAUGUUAAAAAAAGAUAUUUGUCAAGACAUUGGCCAAUGAUUUGUUUUUCAUCGUUUUAUUACUAGGAAAUACUGGUACAUGUACUUUAAAAUUUAUGUAAAGAAAUCACUUUAUAACAAAGAAAAAGAAAUGUUCUAUACAUUAUAAUUGUAAUGCUCAGUUAAUUAUUAUUGUUUUGCAUUAAAUAUUAUUUCAAUGUUCAUGAGUAAUGUAUAUUUCUUUUUCAGAUAACUUUGACUGCAUAAAAUGGCUGUAUGAUAUAACUACAACAGUAGAG